UACAGAGGGUGCGAGCGUUAAUCGGAAUUACUGGGCGUAAAGCGUGCGUAGACGGUUAUUUAAGUCGGGUGUGAAAGCCCCGGGCUCAACCUGGGAAUUGCAUUCGAGACUGAAUAGCUAGGGUACGGUAGAGGGAAGUGGAAUUUCCGGUGUAGCGGUGAAAUGCGUAGAUAUCGGAAGGAACAUCUGUGGCGAAAGCGACUUCCUGGACCAGUACCGACGUUCAGGCACGAAAGCGUGGGGAGCAAACAGG
rnacentral:rRNA from 1 species